rnacentral:rRNA from 1 species
UACGUAGGGCGCAAGCGUUGUCCGGAAUUAUUGGGCGUAAAGAGCUCGUAGGCGGCCUGUUGCGUCCGCUGUGAAAUCCCGGGGCUCAACUCCGGAUCUGCGGUGGGUACGGGCAGACUAGAGUGAUGUAGGGGAGACUGGAAUUCCUGGUGUAGCGGUGAAAUGCGCAGAUAUCAGGAGGAACACCGAUGGCGAAGGCAGGUCUCUGGGCAUUAACUGACGCUGAGGAGCGAAAGCAUGGGGAGCGAACAGG